rnacentral:rRNA from 1 species
AAAGACCUUGUGCUUUUUGAGCGGCCGAUGCCUGAUUAGCUUGUUGGUGGGGUAAAGGCUUACCAAGGCAACGAUCAGUAGCUGGUCUGAGAGGACGACCAGCCACACUGGGACUGAGACACGGCCCAGACUCCUACGGGAGGCAGCAGUGGGGAAUUUUGGACAAUGGGCGCAAGCCUGAUCCAGCCAUGCCGCGUGAGUGAAGAAGGCCUUCGGGUUGUAAAGCUCUUUCGGUCGGGAAGAAAUAAUUGCGGCUAAUAUCUGCAAUAAAUGACGGUACCGACAUAAGAAGCACCGGCUAACUACGUGCCAGCAGCCGCGGUAAUACGUAGGGUGCAAGCGUUAAUCGGAAUUAUUGGGCGUAAAGGGUGCGCAGGCGGUUGUAUAAGUCAGAUGUGAAAUCCCUGGGCUUAACCUAGGAAUU